UUUAAUUAUAAAUUAAAAUUUAASUAUUUAAUUGUCCAAGUAUUAUAAGAAAUUUAAUUUAUUAUAUUUUUAUAAGUUUAGUAUUUUAUUUAUUAUUUAAUUAAAUAGUACCUUUUGUAUCAGGGUAAAUUUAUUUAYUAAAAUAUUUUUUAUUCCCGAAAUGGUAAGAUCAAUUAAAUUUAUUCUUAUAAUUGUUUUAUAAAUUAAGGUAAUUAUUUUAUUGUAAAUAUAUUUUAUUCAAUUUUCAUUAUAUCUGGUUAUUUAGGAUAAAAUUUAAUUUAUUAAUUAUUUUUUUAAUUUUUAUCUAAUGAGGGAUAAUCUUCAUUUUUUAAUAAAAUAUUUAUUUUAAAUAUUUUUAUUAGUCUUUAUAUUUUAAAUUUAGUUAUUAAUUUAUUUAAAUUUUUUAUAAAAGAUUUUUUUAUAUUUAUUUUCUUAUUAAAUUUAUUUAUUUAUUAAUUUUUUAAUUUUAAUUUUGAUUUUAUAAGUAAAAUUUUAACUUAUAUUUAAAUGAAUUCGACAAAUCUAAUUUUCAACUGUUUAUCAAAAACAUUUUUUUUAGGUUUAUAUUAAAAGUAUAUUCUGCCCUAUGAAUAUUUAAAUGGCUGCAGUAUUUUAACUGUACAAAGGUAGCAUAAUAAAUAGUUUUUUAAUUGAGGACUGGAAUGAAAGAUUAAAUGAAAAAUUUAUUUUAUAAUCUUUAUUUUUUUAAUUUUAUUUUUAGGUAAAAAAGCUUAAUUAGUUUAUUGGGACGAAAAGACCCUAUAGAAUUUUACUUAGUUUUUUUAAUUAAUUUUAAUUUUUUUUUUAUUUAGUYUCAUUAAGUUUAGUUGGGGUGAUUAAUAAAUUUAAACUUUAUUUUUUUUACUCAUUUAUAUAUGAUUUUUUAGAUUAAAUUUUUUAUUAAAAGAUAAAAUUACCUUAGGGAUAACAGCGUUAUUUUUAUGGGGAGUUCAUAUCUAUAUAAAAGUUUGCGACCUCGAUGUUGAAUUAAGAUAAGUGAAGGAAGAAGUAUUUUUUUUACUAAGUCUGUUCGACUUUUAAAUUCUUACAUGAUUUGAGUUCAGACCGGUGUGAGCCAGGUUGGUUUCUAUCUUAUAAUUUUAUAUUUAGUUUAGUACGAAAGGACCAAUUAUUUUAUUAUAAAUGUUUGUUUAUA
rnacentral:rRNA from 1 species